UGGGGAAUUUUGCACAAUGGGGGAAACCCUGAUGCAGCGACGCCGCGUGAUUUAGAAGGCCUUCGGGUUGUAAAAAUCUUUUGUAUAGGAAGAAAAUGACAGUACUAUACGAAUAAGGACCGGCUAAUUACGUGCCAGCAGCCGCGGUAAUACGUAAGGUCCGAGCGUUGUCCGGAAUCAUUGGGCGUAAAGGGUACGUAGGCGGGUAAGCAAGUUAGAAGUGAAAUCCUAUAGCUCAACUAUAGUAAGCUUUUAAAACUGCUCAUCUUGAGGUAUGGAGGGGAAAGUGGAAUUCCUAGUGUAGCGGUGAAAUGCGCAGAUAUUAGGAGGAAUACCGGUGGCGAGGGCGACUUUCUGGCCAUAACCUGACGCUGAGGUACGAGAGCGUGGGUAGCAAACAGG
rnacentral:rRNA from 1 species